rnacentral:rRNA from 1 species
UACGUAGGGUGCAAGCGUUGUCCGGAAUUAUUGGGCGUAAAGAGCUCGUAGGCGGUUCGUCGCGUCGGCUGUGAAAUCCCGAGGCUCAACCUCGGGUCUGCAGUCGAUACGGGCGGACUGGAGUUCGGCAGGGGAGACUGGAAUUCCUGGUGUAGCGGUGAAAUGCGUAGAUAUCGCUUGGAACGCCAACGGUGAAAACAGACGACUGGGAGUGUGCUGACGCUGAGACACGAAAGCCAGGGGAGCGAACGGG